AAAAUCUACCAUUUCUGGCAAAGGUAAAAAGCCAGAUUGUCACAAGAUUUGUCUGAACGAUCUGCCUUCAUUGCAUCUAUUUCAGCAUCAUUUGGUACUUCACUGUGACACCAUCUGUUCCAGCAAACUGGCCUCCUUGAAAACAAGAGUAUCAAAAGAAAACUGGCAGUGGAAGCAGAAACAUGAAAGAAGAUGCUGAAAUGGUGGUUUGCCUAUGGGAUAAGCCUGUUCUAAGUAUUCAUCUGUUCAUAUUCUCAUUCCUUCUUACUCCUGGAGAAAAUGGAAAACUAUGGAUUCCUUCCAGACCAAUAUGGUUUAUCAAGCAAGACCCCCUGAAGCAGUAACCCAACUGAUCCUAUAUUCAAAAGAGUUGAGAUGAUACAGUCAUAGAUGACUACAGCCAGGAUUUCUGUGUUUUAUCAUGGUCUCCAUGGUAUGGACAUUGCCCCCAACCAGCAGGAAGCAGUUUGGAAUGAAUGAUGCCCAAAUUCUCAAGUAUUGUUUAUAAAUGUUUGUUUUCACUUAGAUGGGGUUGGUUAUAAAUGGUAAUGAUCACAGUGAAUCUCUUUCUAAAGGAAAAAAGAGGAAUAGGAUAUAGAAAUGAAUAUUUUGCAUUGGUGUGGAUUUUCAUUUAUUGAUACAAAUUUAAGGUCAAUUUUGUGAUAUGUAUAUUUCUCCUCUUGUUUAGGUAUUGUGUUAUACAGCUCUUUUAAAAUGUAAUGCAUAAUUUAGUACAGAUUAUAUUGUUACCUAUAAUAGUCAUAACUUAUAAUUAGGUUAGUUAGUUUCUCUAGCUUACAAAGAUGUAUUUGAGAUGGAUAGAUAUUCUUCAAACCUUUCAAAGACCUAAAUAUGGCAUUUAAUGUUUUAGGGCUUUUCGUGGCAGUGAGACACGCGUGCUCCUGUCACACCAAUUACCUCAGAAAGCAGGAUGGGCAUCGAAGAAACUCAUUAUGGAGUUUGCUUUCAACAUGGCAAGGUUAGCCAUUUGGGCAAGAAACUGCCCUUGCCUGGACUGUUUGUUGCUGUAUAAACUGGACAUGCAGGACCCACAGGUAAGUGACUGCUAACUUACAAAACAAGAUGGACAGUCCUGAAGGAUUCCUGCUUCAUGGAAGCAUCUGGAAGACAUUCUUCAGGACACAGAGGGAAUUGGCUGACAAAUUGCCAAUGCAGGUGGACAGUUUAAAAUUUUCUGCUUCACUGAGAAGUCUGUCAGACACAUUGUGGACUAUAGGCUGAAGAUGGACGCCCCAACGUACAAAGGAACUUUGGAUGACUGUCCAGACAGUGAGAUGUCUCUACAAGAUCUAGAGUUUAUAUGUUAUCCUUCUGGGGUCUUUGAUGGAGUUGAAGACAGAUAGUUAUGGUUAUAGUUUUCUUUAGUUAUUAUAAAAGAUAAAUUACAUAUAAGACCUUAGACUCACAAAGAUAGGAUAGAUGAUAGAAUAUUUUCUUUAAAUCUUGCUAAAUGUCAAUGAACUAAAUAUUGUAACUAUAGUUCUUACUUGAUAACUGUUUUGUUAUAUAUUUAACUUGUUAAUGUGAAUCCCUUCUUUUUAUUUAGACAGAAAAGAGGAGAUGAUGGCGGAGGUCUUUCUGCAUAUACAUUUGUCUUAUUGGUUGAUAAAUAAAGCUCUGUUGGCCAAUAGGGGAGCAAGUUAGGUGGGACUAGGGAGAAGGAAGUUUCUGGGAAAUGGAGGAAAAGGACUCAGUUGCCAUGUGAUCACCAGGAAGACAGCAUGCAUUCCCCAGCAUUCUCAAUAAGUUUAUAAAAUAUAUAGAUUAAUAAAUAUGGGUGACACUUAAGACAGAGUUAGCAAAUAAGAAAUCUUAGUCAUUGGCACGCAGCAUUGAACCUAAUAUAAGUCUCUGUGUGUUACUUGAAACCUUAACAUGGUGGUGGGUGGAACUCAGGUGGCUGGAGGAAAGGUUU
rnacentral:lncRNA from 1 species